rnacentral:rRNA from 1 species
AACACAUGCAAGUCGAACGCUCCGCAAGGGGAGUGGCAGACGGGUGAGUAACGCGUGGGAAUCUACCCAAUACUACGGAAUAGCUCCGGGAAACUGGAAUUAAUACCGUAUGUGCCCUACGGGGGAAAGAUUUAUCGGUAUUGGAUGAGCCCGCGUUGGAUUAGCUAGUUGGUGAGGUAAUGGCUCACCAAGGCGACGAUCCAUAGCUGGUCUGAGAGGAUGAUCAGCCACACUGGGACUGAGACACGGCCCAGACUCCUACGGGAGGCAGCAGUGGGGAAUAUUGGACAAUGGGCGAAAGCCUGAUCCAGCCAUGCCGCGUGAGUGAUGAAGGCCUUAGGGUUGUAAAGCUCUUUCAGUAGGGAAGAUAAUGACGGUACCUACAGAAGAAGCCCCGGCUAACUUCGUGCCAGCAGCCGCGGUAAUACGAAGGGGGCUAGCGUUGUUCGGAUUUACUGGGCGUAAAGCGCACGUAGGCGGUUCGUUAAGUCGGGGGUGAAAUCCUGGAGCUCAACUCCAGAACUGCCUUCGAUACUGGCGAUCUUGAGUCCGGAAGAGGUGAGUGGAACUCCUAGUGUAGAGGUGGAAU